UAACCUUCGGGAGGGCGCUUACCACUUUGUGAUUCAUGACUGGGGUGAAGUCGUAACAAGGUAACCGUAGGGGAACCUGCGGUUGGAUCACCUCCUUA
rnacentral:rRNA from 4 species